AUGAGUAUAAGAAAGUACUCUGGGAUGGCAAGUAGGCGACUGCGCCCAGUCAUGGCGGACCACAGAAAUCACAGCGGAGGAGACACCCAGCAGGAGAGGCAGAUUCGAAUGGGGACAGUCAGUAACCUGGAAUGGACCGAUUUUUUGUGGACAUUCACCUUGGAUUCUCUGAAAAAGAAGAGGAUGCAGUUUUUACUGGAACUUGAUAUAGUUAAUGGUAUUGAAAUGGAAUCUUCUGUCAAUGGAGGGAGAGUUGGGGGAAGCCAGAAAACGCAAGACAGAAACUUACCGUUUCCUCAGGUAAUGAAUUUACCUUUUCAUUCAUAUUAACUAACUGAAGUAUGGGAACAAAACAAAAGUGAAGGGCAGAUAUAUAGUUAGGAAUUGCUAUGCCUUGAUAACAAAUUUAUUUACAGUAACUGUGUGUAUAUAUAUAUAUAUAUGAUAUAUAGUUAGGUAAAUUGCUAUGCCUUGAUAACAAAUUAAUUUACUAGUACUGUGUGUAUAUAUAUAUAUAUAUAUACACACACACACACGUCAAAAAAAAUAUUUUGUUCAGCAAGGACAAAACUUUAUAAAUCAAAUAAUCCUGAUCAAAAAUAUUAAGCAGCACAACUGUUUUAAACAUUGAAAAUAAUAAGAAUUGUUUCUUGAGCAGCAAAUCAGCAUAUUAGAAUGAUUUCUGAAGGAUCAUGUGACACUAAAGACUGGUGUAAUGAUGCUGAAAGUUUAGCUUUGCACCACAGGAAUAAAUUACAUUUUAAAAUAUAUCCAAAUAUAAAACAGCAAUGUUAAAUUGUACAAAUAUUUCACAAUAUUAAUGUUUUAACUUCAUUUUGAUCAAAUAAAUGCAGCCUUGGUGAGCAUAAAAAAAAAAAAAACUAAUUGCAUAAUCACAAAAAAAUCCUACUUAACCCAAACUUUUGAACAGCAGUGUAUCUUGUAUACAAAUAAAAAAGGGAAAAAGGAAGGGUUCAUUUGGCAUGGUCAUCAAAAUUUCUUAACAUUUUUUUGGUGAUCUUGGCUUGGCAAAUCAUGACAAAUGUUCCUUUAAUGUUCUUUUGUGAAAGUUAAGGUGUGUCAAAAUUUCCGAGAUGAACACCUAACGAACACCUAACUACACCCAGACUUGAUUUCCCAUGAGCAGUUUGUAAUAUGUCAUUAAAUUCAUGGUUCCACACAAACCACUCUUUCAUUUUCAGAUGAGCUUAUCAAAUAAAGUCAUAAAAAGGAGGAACAGGGCUUCACAUUCCAAAGGCCUUUGAUCUUUUUGCAAUGAAUCCAUGAGAUUACAUGCCUGAUUAUAUCCAGGUGUUGAGUCAUAACU
rnacentral:lncRNA from 1 species